UACGGAGGGGGCGAGCGUUUAUUCGGAAUCAUUGGGCGUAAAGGGCGCGUAGGCGGCCCCGUAAGUCUUUGGGUGAAAGCCCUCGGCUCAACCGAGGAAUUGCCUUGGAUACUGCGGGGCUCGAGGCUGGAAGAGGGCAGUGGAAUUCCCGGUGUAGCGGUGAAAUGCGUAGAUAUCUGGAGGAAUACCGGUGGCGAAGGCGGCAUCCUGGACCGGCAUUGACGCUGAGGAGCGAAAGCUAGGGGAGCAAACGGG
rnacentral:rRNA from 1 species